rnacentral:rRNA from 1 species
UACAUAGGUCUCAAGCGUUGUUCGGAUUCAUUGGGCGUAAAGGGUGCGUAGGCGGCGCGGUAAGUCGGGUGUGAAAUCUUGGAGCUUAACUCCGAAACUGCAUUCGAUACUGCCGUGCUUGAGGACUGGAGAGGAGACUGGAAUUUACGGUGUAGCGGUGAAAUGCGUAGAUAUCGUGAGGAAGACCAGUGGCGAAGGCGGGUCUCUGGACAGUGCCUGACGCUGAGGCACGAAGGCCAGGGGAGCAAACGGG